AAUAAAUACAUGUCUUUUUAAAGUACAAAAUCUAGUCUUUUUUUUUUUUAAUAAGUUACCGCAAAUGGCAAAUUACACACAAGGAUUCGAAUAACGUAGGAGUUUCAACUUGUCUAUAAUAUAUAGGUACUCUUGAUUUAUGAUUUAUAAUAAAUUAAAGCUAGAAAUCCGUUCUAUAGAAAUACAAUAGUGAUUUUAAAAAUAGAAAAUUACUAUGGUAGGACCCAAGUUUUAUUAUAGUAAGUAUUUUAUUAUUGAUAGAAAUCACAGGUUAAGUUUUACACAACUUCUCACGUUUAACUUGGUACAAAAAUAAUGUUUCUACGACCAACUAGGCCUGAGUACUAUUGGAAUUACAAAAUCAUGUUCUACGGUCAAUUUGUUCUUACUGUGACGGCCUCUUAAGAUAAAGCUUAAUGGUCAUUGCCUUCGAAUCGUUGAAAAUAAUGGUCAUUAGUAGACCAAAAGUGUGUGGUAGACCGCAUAAUAUGACUUAUAGAAACAUGUGUGGUAAAUGACAAGUGUGCGGUAGACCGCAUACGACAAGAAUACCUUAGAGAUAUUAUGGCAAAAUAUUAAAUUAAUAUUUCAAUAUGACAAUAUAAUUAUUAUUCAGUAUUUCUGUCAUCUUUUAGAUUCUAAAUGAAGCGAGGAAUGUAUUGGUUUUACAAUGAUGUUUACCUAUUUCUUUUUUUUUUCUGUAAACACUUUCUCCUCCUAAACUUGCUCAAAAGUAUCAAGUGUAGCAUCUUUUCUGAAAGGUAAUGAUCUUGAGCUGGUACUUUAGACUCAUUAGAGAGGUCAUUUUUCGAUUUUCUCAAUAGUUAUUUAACGCCAAGGGAAAAACUACGAAAAACGGAACAGUACCAAUUAGAAGCAUUAUAAAGACGGACAAGGAAAGUUGUUCAUUUGGUGGUGUUCUGCACGUCUGUGCUCUACAGUCUCCAUAGGCCAUAGUUCAGUGGCGUUGCCAUAGGAGAAGCUGAGGGGGAUACAGCCCUUCCUAAAAUUUUAAGAAAAUUGAAAAAUUAUUUUAUUAAUGGUCUAUGAAAACUGCUAUAUAAGUCUUAAAUUAUAUUUUACUGAUUUUAAAUUGUCAUAACUUUUUUACUUAUUAUAUAUUAAUAUUUAAUAAUACUUCGGAAUCUGUAUACCUACUACACUUAUAGAAAAACCUAGGUAAACCACCGCCGUGAAAAAAUUGAUAGCCUCCCUGCCUUCCCCGAAGAAAAAUCCUAGCAAUGUCAUUGCCACAGUUAGAUGUUUCAGUCACGGAAAAGAAUCGAUGUUUACUCAAGUGUAGACGUUUAUUUUAUUAUAGUUUACAAGCACGCAAUGCAUAGAAAUGCAAGCCCGAACAAUUAAAACUUUGUUGUCUUCGCCGCUCUCAGGACUCAGGUCGUAGAAUAAUUGUAUAUUUAUAAUUACUCGUGUAGAUAAUGUCACACAUUUUUAAUUGACUUAAUACUAUAGUAAUCAGUCCACAUGGUACAUCUAUUUGACUUAUUUCAGUAUUUCCAUCACAAUAAUAGCAUAAGCAAACUCAGUUAUAGGUUGAUUAUAAUGCAACGAAUUCU